AAAAGAUGUUUGUCUAGUUGUUGGGGAUUUUAACUCGGUUCUUAGAGAAUCUGAGAAGGGGGGGGGGAGACAGAAUUCAUGAUAAUAGAGUUGUUUGCUUCAGAAAUUUUAUGGAUGAUUUUGGGUUAAUAGACAUGGGUUUUUAUGGUCCAAUGUUUACAUGGAACAAUCGUAGAAAUGGUCAUAGCAACAUCCAAGAAAGAUUGGACAGGUCUCUCUCUUAUCAAUGGCUGGUCUGGUAUCCAAAUGCUCGGGUUGAUCACUUAGAGGACAGAGGAUCGGACCAUAGGCCCAUCCUAGUCUUAAUUUCUCCUCAGAUGACACUGAUACACCU
rnacentral:misc_RNA from 1 species